ACCUGAGUGGCUCAGUCGGUUAAGCAUCUGACUUUAACUCAGGUCAUCUUAUGGUUUGUGGGUUCAAGGCCCGCGUUGGGGA
rnacentral:tRNA from 1 species